AUUGAACGCUGGCGGCAGGCUUAACACAUGCAAGUCGAGCGGAGUGAUGGUGCUUGCACUAUCACUUAGCGGCGGACGGGUGAGUAAUGCUUAGGAAUCUGCCAUUUAGUGGGGGACAACAUUCCGAAAGGAAUGCUAAUACCGCAUACGUCCUACGGGAGAAAGCAGGGGAUCUUCGGACCUUGCGCUAAAUGAUGAGCCCAAGUCGGAUUAGCUAGUUGGUGGGGUAAAGGCCUACCAAGGCGACGAUCUGUAGCGGGUCUGAGAGGAUGAUCCGCCACACUGGGACUGAGACACGGCCCAGACUCCUACGGGAGGCAGCAGUGGGGAAUAUUGGACAAUGGGCGGAAGCCUGAUCCAGCCAUGCCGCGUGUGUGAAGAAGGCCUUUUGGUUGUAAAGCACUUUAAGCGAGGAGGAGGCUACUAGUACUAAUACUACUGGAUAGUGGACGUUACUCGCAGAAUAAGCACCGGCUAGCUCUGUGCCAGCAGCCGCAGUAAGAC
rnacentral:rRNA from 1 species